rnacentral:piRNA from 2 species
UGGAAAGGAUGAAGAGCUGACUGAUGGAA